rnacentral:rRNA from 1 species
UACGUAGGGGGCUAGCGUUGUCCGGAUUUAUUGGGCGUAAAGAGCUCGUAGGCGGCUUGUCACGUCGGAUGUGAAAGCCCGGGGCUUAACCCCGGGUCUGCAUUCGAUACGGGCUAGCUAGAGUGUGGUAGGGGAGAUCGGAAUUCCUGGUGUAGCGGUGAAAUGCGCAGAUAUCAGGAGGAACACCGGUGGCGAAGGCGGAUCUCUGGGCCAUUACUGACGCUGAGGAGCGAAAGCGUGGGGAGCGAACAGG